UACGUAGGGGGCAAGCGUUGUCCGGAUUUAUUGGGCGUAAAGAGCGUGUAGGCGGCCCGGUAAGUCCGCCGUGAAAGUCCAGGGCUCAACCCUGGAAUGCCGGUGGAAACUGCCGGGCUGGAGUCCGGAAGAGGCGAGUGGAAUUCCUGGUGUAGCGGUGAAAUGCGCAGAUAUCAGGAGGAACACCAACGGCGAAGGCAGCACUCUGGGCCGGUACUGACGCUGAGGAGCGAAAGCGUGGGGAGCAAACAGG
rnacentral:rRNA from 1 species